rnacentral:lncRNA from 1 species
GACGCAGGGUUCGGCCGACCUACUGAGCUCGUUUCCCGUAUUCAAGAGUUCCUCUGUGUCGAAGACUAGGAUAGUGAUAGGUGAUAGUGAUGUAAACGUAGACGAUGUAUCUGGUCAUGUAAAUCCUCUAAGGAUAGCUUUUUGUUCUGUAAUGUGGGUAUUUGUAACGUGCUGUAAUGAAACUUUCGUUUUUUCGUUCAU